GGGCAUUUAGUCUAAUGGUAUGAUUCUCGCUUUGGGUGCGAGAGGUCUCAAGUUCGAUUCUCGGAAUGCCCC